rnacentral:lncRNA from 1 species
GCUAGCACAUUGUAUUAACCCAAGUUCCCAAUUAGGUUAGUUCAAAUAAAUUUGAGCUAGUCUUAACCUAUUGCCUUUGAUCUAAUUAGAUUACAUCCAAUUUAUUUGAUUUAUUUUCUUAUCUUAAAAGUGUUUAGAUAAGAAAGGAGUCUUCUACGCCACUAGGUCCAUGCCAUUUAUUUAUUGCCGUCCUAUAUUUAUUGGCACC